GAAUAAGGACCAGAACUUUGCAGAGGUAAACUGUGUCUGUUCUUUUACUAUUACAGGCCACCUCAGCUACACAUGCACUCUGUCUGCACACGCAUCCACGCAUGCACAUACACACGGACAAACACACACUAACUGUUUGUCAGCAGUUCAUCGUGGCCCUCUCAUUCGCCUCCUUCACCAAAGCUCUGUCAGGGACCUACAUGAAGAGUGCAUCACUCAGAGAGACACUUUGACCUGUCCAGCUCUCUCAUCGGACUCAUGGGACGGCAGCUUUGAGAUGGGUUUCAACAAUAACAUUGAGUUGCUUGAGAAUUCAUGUAACCUGCUGUUCCUGGCUGUGGUCAGCCAUUUGGGGGCGAAGCUGCACCGGCCCAGGUUCAUUGCUAUGGGCUGUUUCCUCAUGGCUGUAGGAUCCUUCCUCACAGGCCUGCCACACUUCUUCAUGGGAUGGUAAAACAACUGAAAUACUUGUUAAACUUGUGCUUGUAGAGAUACUCCAAUGCGGAGGAUAGUUUCACUUGAGAAAUAAAGAAAUGUAUCCAGUUGUUGAUUAAUCUCAGUUUAUUUAGAACUAAAGUCUUGCGUAAUUGGUCAGAUGCUUUAUUAUGUUUUGGGGCCAUACAUGUUAAGAGAAGGGAUUAAGAGAUGCUAUAAUUUUGACGUGGUAAGGUUGGACUCAGGUGCAGAGAAGAGACCAGAAGAUGAAGCAGUGGUUCCAACCAGUGUCUCCAUCCCUCAAGGGCCCACUUAACUGCCAAAAGCUCCCAGUUUCCUACAUCAUAGUUGCCUUCUGCUGGUGAGACCCGCUUGGAGAGAAAGGUGCAUGGGUGCAGUUUCUUGUCCUCCUCGUUCCGCUGUGAAAGUACCGCACCAGCUCCGGUGUCCAAGGCGUCCACCUCUACCACAAAGGGGCGAGUAGGAUCAGGAUGAACGAGGAUGCGUCCGGAGGUGAAACGUCCCUUGAGCUCUAUGAAUGCCCUCUCAGCCUCGGGAUUCUUGCACAAACCUGCUUGAGUGAGGUGGGACAGGGCCGUAAAUGUUCCGGAGGGGAGAAGAUUUGGAGAAGUUUUGGAGAAGAUCGGGAUGUCGUUGAGGUGAACAAAGACGAACUGGUUCAACAUAUCCCUAAGAGUAUCAUUGAUCAAUGCCUGAAAGACUGCCGGUGAGUUCGAUAUUCCAAAGGUCAUGACUAAAUACUCAGUGACCACUAGGGGCGUUAAAGGACAUUUUCCUCUCAUCUCCCUGAUUCUCUCCAGAUUUUAAGCGUUGCGGAGGUCCAGUUUGGUGAAGAAUUGGACUCCUAGAGCCAAUUCAAAGGCGGCAGACAUCGGGUAGGGGGUAAUGAUUCUUGAUCGUAAUCCUUUUCAGCCCUCUGUAAUCGAUGCAAGGACUGAAGUUUGGGUCAGAGACAGAGAGACGAGGGAUGCGAUUAGAAAUGCAGCCCAAUUAUGAUAUUUUUUCCACUAAUUGGUCUUUUGACCAAUCACAUUAGAUAUUUUCAUAUCAGCUCUUUUUCAGAGCAUAUCUGAUUGGUCAAAAAAUGACUGAAUUGGGCUGCCUGUCUCAACGAAUCCAUAGAAACUGUUCCAACUGAAAUGUUCCAUCCCGUCAGUACUGAUGUUGAAUGGCAUUAAAUACACUUUUUUUGUUCUCUCCCAUCCCCUGUAGGGUUGUUGAACAUGAGUGGAAAUGAAACUCCAGCACACUGGUAGCACUAAAGAUGUGUGAGUAUAACUUUUCCAGGUGAGUUGAACCUGCCUGUGGGUGCAGUGGGGAUAUUCCUGGGAGGUCUACUGAUGAAGAGGUAUAAGCUCGGCGUUGUGUCUGGAUCCCAGAUGUCUUUUGUCAUCUCCUUCAUGGCCUACCUCCUCCUCCCUCUGCAGUCUGGCACUAAGUGUGACAACGUUCAGGUGGCUGGUCUGACCCUGUCCUAUAACGGGUAAAUAUGACAUCUGAUUGGUUGGUUGGUGGGUUGAUAAAAACAAAAGUUUUGAUCAGUGGAAUAUGAGGGAGAGUUUGAACAAAACACACAUGGGCUUGUGCCGGGGCUCCCUCUUGUGGGAAUAUACAGUAUGGUUGUUACUGAGCCAGGAUUCCUGGCUGUUUUGUCACUGUGCCUGUGUCAAUGAUAGUUCAGCAACAAUUAUUUAAACAUCAUUAUUACCAGCCAUUUUCUCUGUCCCCCGGGUCCCCUGGUGUACGAUGGCAGCCUGUUGUCAGAAUGUAACAGAGACUGCUCCUGCUUAGGCUGGGAAGUGGGACCCUGUGUGUUCAGACAACGGCAUCACCUACACCCCCAGCCUCGCAGGCUGCUCCAGCUUUACAGGUUACGGCAAGAACACGGUACCAAUACUAUUAAUGUACUGAGAGUUCAAAAU